UUUAUUAUUUAUUGUUUGUAGAAUUCAAAUUAUAAAUACUGAUCGAUUAAUAAGCCCUGGAUUUCUUGUUCAAGGCUCUGUGUUCUGAACAUUGCGAGGUGUGUGUGUCUAACAGCUGAUAUUUAGCGAGAUUUUGUUACAUAGGGGAUCUGCUCUGAAUUUUGUGCUGCCCAUUCUGUGUCUGUCGGUUCCACAUAUCGUACAUUAUAUGACCUUAGUAAAUAAGCCAACAGAGCGAUGUGGUUUUAUUUUAAUACCUGCAUUGAGACAUUGUGAUUUAUAAUGCGUCUGUAUCUACACUGUGCUCAGUCUCUGUCACCUGGAAGUAACUGUUUCUACAAUUUCCCAAAUUCUAUCUUCUCAGCCC